rnacentral:tRNA from 1 species
CUAAGGAAUAUAAAAAAAGAUGUUGUUCUACUUUAUUCAGUUUUGAGGGGUCUAUAAAGACCAACAAGCAGUCUUUUGAUGCAAGAUAGAGAAGAUUGCGUUGAGAGAAGGGGCCUUAGCUCAGCUGGGAGAGCGCCUGCUUUGCACGCAGGAGGUCAGCGGUUCGAUCCCGCUAGGCUCCAUAAGAUACGGAAGUAUCUGGUCAACGAAGACGUUAAAAUAGGAAUUGAUCAUUGAAAACUAAAUAACAAUAUCUUAUAACGAUAAAUAAACCGAGAAAUGUUUUAAACAUUUCUGUAAAGCUGCGAAUUCUUUUAAAGAGUUCGAAAAAACUUAUACUUGUUUUAAUG